rnacentral:lncRNA from 1 species
GAGAACUCCUAAGGGCCUAUUUAGAUAUUUCUACAGGAUUGGACUGAAAAUACUAUAGAAAUCAAGCCUAAUGGCCCAACUCGCAUCUUCUAACGGCCUGGGUCUUUUUUUCUUCCUAUAGAAUUUUAGCCAGGGAAUCCCUGGUUAAUAGAACUAUGCUUAAAUGAGCGACUCCAUCUACUAAUCUUACAUGAUUUUCAACUUCAUCCUAUAGGAAUUUUCAAUAUGCCCUAAGUGGGUAGAAUUUGCCUAAGAUUGCUAAUUUUUUCUAGUUUUCUCAUCCUUUGCUAUAUAUUUUCAGUGGAUGAAGACAUGCCUAAGUAGGAACUAGGGUUUAGUAGUGAAGAAGAACCUAAGGUAGGAAAUGAUUGAGAUUUAUUUGGAAGGUGGUGAUGAUUAUAGGAUUCUUGGAUGCAUGAAUUA